GACGAACGCUGGCGGCGUGCUUAACACAUGCAAGUCGAACGGAAAGGCCCCUUUGGUGGUACUCGAGUGGCGAACGGGUGAGUAACACGUGAGUAACCUGCCCUUGACUUCGGGAUAACUUCAGGAAACUGGGGCUAAUACCUGAUAGGAAUCCUUGCUGCAUGGUGGGGGUUGGAAAGCUUCGGCGGUUUUGGAUGGACUCGCGGCUUAUCAGCUUGUUGGUGGGGGAGUGGCUUACCAAGGCUUUGACGGGUAGCCGGCCUGAGAGGGCGAACGGCCACAUUGGGACUGGGAUACGGCCCAGACUCCUACGGGGGGCAGCAGUGGGGAAUAUUGCACAAUGGGCGGAAGCCUGAUGCAGCAACGCCGCGUGCGGGAUGACGGCCUUCGGGUUGUAAACCGCUUUCAGCAGGGGCGAAGCUUGUGGUGACGGUACCUGCAGAAGAAGCACCGGCUAACUACGUG
rnacentral:rRNA from 1 species